rnacentral:rRNA from 2 species
UGGUGGGUAGUUUGACUGGGGCGGUCUCCUCCUAAAGAGUAACGGAGGAGCACGAAGGUUGGCUAAUCCUGGUCGGACAUCAGGAGGUUAGUGCAAUGGCAUAAGCCAGCUUGACUGCGAGCGUGACGGCGCGAGCAGGUGCGAAAGCAGGUCAUAGUGAUCCGGUGGUUCUGAAUGGAAGGGCCAUCGCUCAACGGAUAAAAGGUACUCCGGGGAUAACAGGCUGAUACCGCCCAAGAGUUCAUAUCGACGGCGGUGUUUGGCACCUCGAUGUCGGCUCAUCACAUCCUGGGGCUGAAGUAGGUCCCAAGGGUAUGGCUGUUCGCCAUUUAAAGUGGUACGCGAGCUGGGUUUAGAACGUCGUGAGACAGUUCGGUCCCUAUCUGCCGUGGGCGCUGGAGAACUGAGGGGGGCUGCUCCUAGUACGAGAGGACCGGAGUGGACGCAUC